GGAGGCAGAGGCAGAGGCUGAGAAGGGAGGGGGGGAAACGGAGGAGGUCCCAGACCAGACUAGACCAGACCAGACCAGACCAUAUCCUCCUUCCCCAGCUGCAGAACCACCCCAACGCCCACAACCACAUGCUGCAGGACCCGGGACGUGACUCCUGGCUGUCAAUUCUUAUUUUUACGUGGUGGUGGUAGGGAAAUGUGAGGAUUUCCAAGUGUGGACUGAAGGCACUAAAUACCGAACUGGAGACUGCUGUUGGUCAGCAAACCACUGAAGUCUGAGGAUGCUUCAGUAGUCAAGCAAUUAUAGAUUGGAAUAUAAUCCCCUUGGCAGUGCUGAGAGAAUCAGUUUGUUCCUCUUGAACAAUGUAAACUGAGGAUAUUUACUUCAUGCAAGAACGCACGCAGGACACUCGGAUCUU